rnacentral:rRNA from 1 species
GGGUUGUGAGGUUAAGCGACUAAGCGUACACGGUGGAUGCCCUGGCAGUCAGAGGCGAUGAAGGACGUGCUAAUCUGCGAUAAGCGUCGGUAAGGUGAUAUGAACCGUUAUAACCGGCGAUUUCCGAAUGGGGAAACCCAGUGUGAUUCGUCACACUAUCAUUAACUGAAUCCAUAGGUUAAUGAGGCGAACCGGGGGAACUGAAACAUCUAAGUACCCCGAGGAAAAGAAAUCAACCGAGAUUCCCCCAGUAGCGGCGAGCGAACGGGGAGCAGCCCAGAGCCUGAAUCAGUGUGUGUGUUAGUGGAAGCGUCUGGAAAGGCGCGCGAUACAGGGUGACAGCCCCGUACACAAAAAUGCACAUACUGUGAGCUCGAUGAGUAGGGCGGGACACGUGGUAUCCUGUCUGAAUAUGGGGGGACCAUCCUCCAAGGCUAAAUACUCCUGACUGACCGAUAGUGAACCAGUACCGUGAGGGAAAGGCGAAAAGAACCCCGGCGAGGGGAGUGAAAAAGAACCUGAAACCGUGUACGUACAAGCAGUGGGAGCCUCUUUAUGGGGUGACUGCGUACCUUUUGUAUAAUGGGUCAGCGACUUAUAUUCUGUAGCAAGGUUAACCGAAUAGGGGAGCCGAAGGGAAACCGAGUCUUAACUGGGCGUUAAGUUGCAGGGUAUAGACCCGAAACCCGGUGAUCUAGCCAUGGGCAGGUUGAAGGUUGGGUAACACUAACUGGAGGACCGAACCGACUAAUGUUGAAAAAUUAGCGGAUGACUUGUGGCUGGGGGUGAAAGGCCAAUCAAACCGGGAGAUAGCUGGUUCUCCCCGAAAGCUAUUUAGGUAGCGCCUCGUGAAUUCAUCUCCGGGGGUAGAGCACUGUUUCGGCAAGGGGGUCAUCCCGACUUACCAACCCGAUGCAAACUGCGAAUACCGGAGAAUGUUAUCACGGGAGACACACGGCGGGUGCUAACGUCCGUCGUGAAGAGGGAAACAACCCAGACCGCCAGCUAAGGUCCCAAAGUCAUGGUUAAGUGGGAAACGAUGUGGGAAGGCCCAGACAGCCAGGAUGUUGGCUUAGAAGCAGCCAUCAUUUAAAGAAAGCGUAAUAGCUCACUGGUCGAGUCGGCCUGCGCGGAAGAUGUAACGGGGCUAAACCAUGCACCGAAGCUGCGGCAGCGACGCUUAUGCGUUGUUGGGUAGGGGAGCGUUCUGUAAGCCUGCGAAGGUGUACUGUGAGGUAUGCUGGAGGUAUCAGAAGUGCGAAUGCUGACAUAAGUAACGAUAAAGCGGGUGAAAAGCCCGCUCGCCGGAAGACCAAGGGUUCCUGUCCAACGUUAAUCGGGGCAGGGUGAGUCGACCCCUAAGGCGAGGCCGAAAGGCGUAGUCGAUGGGAAACAGGUUAAUAUUCCUGUACUUGGUGUUACUGCGAAGGGGGGACGGAGAAGGCUAUGUUGGCCGGGCGACGGUUGUCCCGGUUUAAGCGUGUAGGC